rnacentral:rRNA from 1 species
AGCCACACUGGCACUGAGAUACGGGGCCAGACUCCUACGGGAGGCAGCAGUGAGGAAUAUUGCGCAAUGGGGGAAACCCUGACGCAGCAACGCCGCGUGUGGGAAGAAGGCCUUCGGGUCGUAAACCACUUUUACUCGGGACGAAAAAGGGAUAUCAAAUAAAUAUCCCCGAUGACGGUACCGUGAGAAUAAGCCACGGCUAACUCUGUGCCAGCAGCCGCGGUAAGACAGAGGUGGCAAGCGUUGUUCGGAAUUACUGGGCGUAAAGAGUCUGUAGGUGGUUUGUCAAGUCUUUGGUGAAAGGCCGUAGCUUAACUAUGGGAAUGCCAAAGAGACUGGCAGGCUGGAGGCUGGGAGAGGGAAGCGGAAUUUCUGG